rnacentral:piRNA from 1 species
UCAAACACAAAGACAAACCUGUGUGCC